rnacentral:lncRNA from 1 species
GAGCCAUAAUCGCACCAUUGCACUCCAGCCUGGGUGACAGAGCGAGACUCUGUAUUCCUUGGGGUUUUACCUGCCCUAGAGGAGGAAGAAGAAGAAAAAACCAUGGCAACUGGAGACAAGGGGCCAGGUCGGGGGGAGGGGGUAGACGGUGCUGACAGCAGUGAGCCGCCCCCAAUCGCUGAAACUCCCCACGGCCCCCUGAGCACCCACAACAUUCGCUCCUCCACUUGA